GUCGCGUUCGUCUAGCUGGCAAGGACACCGGGAUUUCAGUCCGGUUACGUGGGUUCAAGUCCCACACGCGACACCA
rnacentral:tRNA from 1 species